UUGGAGGGCAAGUCUGGUGCCGGCAGCCGCGGUAAUUCCAGCUCCAAUAGCGUAUAUUAAAGUUGUUGCAGUUAAAAAGCUCGUAGUUGAAUUUCGGGAUCAAUGUUUCGGUCAUGCCGUUGGUAUGUACUGAUAUUAUUGAUUUCUCACCUUCUAAAGAACCGUAAUGCCAUUAAUUUGGUGCCACGGGGAAUUAGGACUGUUACCAUGAAAAAAUUAGAGUGUUUAAAGCAGGCUCACGCUUGAAUACAUUAGCAUGGAUAAUGAAAUAGGACAUCCGAUUCUAUUUUGUUGGUUUCUAAGAUUGACGUAAUGAUUAAUAGGGAUAGUUGGGGGCAUUAGUAUUCAAUUGUCAGAGGUGAAAUUCUUGGAUUUAUUGAAGACUAACUACUGCGAAAGCAUUUGCCAAGGAUGUUUUCAUUAAUCAAGAACGAAAGUUAGGGGAUCGAAGACGAUCAGAUACCGUCGUAGUCUUAACCAUAAACUAUGCCGACUAGGGAUCGGAUGAUGUUAAUUUUUUAAUGACUCAUUCGGCGCCUUACGGGAAACCAAAGUGUUUGGGUUC
rnacentral:rRNA from 1 species